UUAAAAUCUCCUAGUUCUCCUCAACAAAUAUCAUCACUUUGUAAUUCUGCGCCAUAGCAACCCAGUUUCCAGUCAUGAUCCCCUAAAACUAAAUGAUGUAACUUGCUUGUACAUUACUCAGUUUCCAUGUGACCAGUUUCCCAUUUAUAAAAACUACUGUUUCCUGGAUACCAACCAGGCCAAGAGCUUCCCAAACAUGACUUCACUGAAUCCUCGCAGUAACACUUUGAGCAGUGCUCCUUGCAAGUUAACAUGGAAGCCCUGUUUUAAAGAAGUGUUGGAUUGGUGUUCCAGGAACAUAAGCUGGUCUUGGCCCCUUGAGCUCAAUUCUGAAGUGGGUAUGCCUCCAGCAGCACUUCUCAUGGUGGUUCAGUAUCCCUAGCAGCGACACGGGCAUCACCAGAAAGCCGGCAGGAAAUGAGAGGCUUCCUAAGGACCCCAGAGAGUCAGAGGCUUCCGUGAAUAAGGUGAUGGAUAUGGAAAUCUUAACAAUGGAAACUCAGCUACCUUCAAGGGGUGGUCAGCAAAUAAUGGUCCUCAGGCUCCUCUGCCCUGGCAUUGCUGCAGCUGAUGAGUUCUUGCUUUUGGCUUUGCAUUGUCUUUUAAAAUCUAAAUAUAUUUGGAAGUCAUUUACUUCACCAAAAUGUUCCCCAAACUUCAGUCAUUCAUAUGCUAUCUUCACAAUCCUACUGUAUUCAUAUACUACCUUUUUAAAAUAUUUCUUUUUCAUAUCUAUGCUAAGUCAC